CUCGUAGGCGGCUCGUCGCGUCCGGUGUGAAAGUCCAUCGCUUAACGGUGGAUCCGCGCCGGGUACGGGCGGGCUUGAGUGCGGUAGGGGAGACUGGAAUUCCCGGUGUAACGGUGGAAUGUGUAGAUAUCGGGAAGAACACCAAUGGCGAAGGCAGGUCUCUGGGCCGUCACUGACGCUGAGGAGCGAAAGCGUGGGGAGCGAACA
rnacentral:rRNA from 1 species